rnacentral:rRNA from 1 species
AUUGAACGCUGGCGGCAUGCCUUACACAUGCAAGUCGAACGGUAACGGGCCUUCGGGUGCCGACGAGUGGCGAACGGGUGAGUAAUGCAUCGGAACGUACCUUUCAGUGGGGGAUAACGUAGCGAAAGUUACGCUAAUACCGCAUAUUCUGUGAGCAGGAAAGCAGGGGUUCGCAAGACCUUGUGCUGAUUGAGCGGCCGAUGUCAGAUUAGCUAGUUGGUGAGGUAAAGGCUCACCAAGGCGACGAUCUGUAGCGGGUCUGAGAGGAUGAUCCGCCACACUGGAACUGAGACACGGUCCAGACUCCUACGGGAGGCAGCAGUGGGGAAUUUUGGACAAUGGGGGCAACCCUGAUCCAGCCAUGCCGCGUGAGUGAAGAAGGCCUUCGGGUUGUAAAGCUCUUUCGGCCGGGAAGAAAUCGUAUGGGUUAAUACCCUGUGCGGAUGACGGUACCGGCAUAAGAAGCACCGGCUAACUACGUGCCAGCCGCCGCGGUAA